GCAUGGUAAGAUAAAUAGCUCAGUUGGUAGGGCAUGAGACUCUUAAUGUCAGGGCCGUGGGCUUGAGCCCCACAUUGGGCA